CCGCUGGGGAAGCAUCCCUUUCUGGAGAUCACUCCCUUUGGAGUUUUUCUGCGAGUCUAGGACAUGUCCCGUGGGACCACAGCGGAAGAUGCAGACCAGGGCUUGUCUCAGAGGGUAUGGACUACAAGAAGAUCCCCCAGAAGACACAGAAUGGGAAGCAGCACCCACCACCACCCUUGGGAGCUCCGGUCACCCCGAGCUGGGAGGACAAGGCUAUUGGCAACUUCCAUCUUAUGUGAAAAUAAAGGGCCCAGAGCUUUGAGCCCUCAUGCUUUGCUCCAGAAGUCCACGGAUACCAUGUCACAGAGGACAAGGGCAUCUGGGUAAGCUGGAAGCGGCACGACCUCUCCCUCUCUUUGUCGCAAUUCGGGAAGGAAACGUUUCUGCACAAACGUGAAGAAAUACAGCAGACUUGCCUUAUUUCGGACCACAGGAGGGCGACGUUCAGCUGCAGCUGAAACAAACAGGACUUCCCAAAACAGGUUGCCCAAGGAGAUAGCGGAUGCCCCAGUCCUGGAGGUGUUCAAGGCCAGGAUGGAAGGGGGAGCCUGGUCAUCGGUCACCUUGCACGCAGCUUGAACUUAGAUGAUGAUACCCAGGCCAUUCUACGAUUCUAUCACGGAUUCUAUAUAAAUGAAUAUGCUUGAAGUAAUAAAAAAAUAUUCAGUAUGAAGAAGAAGAAGAAGAAGAAGAAGAAGAAGAAGAUGAAGAAGAAGAAGAAGAAGAAGAAGAAGAUGAAGAAGAAGAAGAAGAUGAAGAUGAAGAUGAAGAUGAAGAAGAAGAAGAAGAAGAAGAAGAAGAAGAAGAAGAAGAUGAAGAUGAAGAAGAAGAUGAAGAAGAAGAAGAAGAAGAAGAAGAUGAAGAUGAAGAAGAAGAAGAAGAUGAAGAUGAAGAAGAAGAUGAAGAAGAAGAUGAAGAAGAAGAAGAUGAAGAUGAAGAUGAAGAUGAAGAAGAAGAAGAAGAAGAAGAUGAAGAAGAAGAAGAAGAAGAAGAAGAAGAUGAAGAAGAUGAAGAUGAAGAAGAAGAUGAAGAUGAAGAUGAAGAAGAAGAAGAAGAUGAAGAAGAAGAAGAAGAUGAAGAUGAAGAUGAAGAUGAAGAUGAAGAUGAAGAUGAAGAUGAAGAAGAAGAAGAAGAUGAAGAUGAAGAUGAAGAUGAAGAUGAAGAUGAAGAUGAAGAUGAAGAUGAAGAUGAAGAAGAAGAUGAAGAUGAAGAUGAAGAUGAAGAAGAAGAAGAAGAUGAAGAUGAAGAUGAAGAUGAAGAAGAAGAAGAAGAAGAAGAAGAAGAAGAAGAAGAAGAUGAAGAUGAAGAUGAAGAUGAAGAUGAAGAUGAAGAUGAAGAAGAAGAUGAAGAAGAAGAUGAAGAUGAAGAUGAAGAUGAAGAUGAAGAUGAAGAAGAAGAUGAAGAAGAAGAUGAAGAUGAAGAUGAAGAUGAAGAAGAAGAUGAAGAUGAAGAUGAAGAAGAAGAUGAAGAAGAAGAUGAAGAAGAAGAUGAAGAAGAAGAUGAAGAAGAAGAAGAAGAAGAAGAAGAUGAAGAUGAAGAUGAAGA
ensembl:lncRNA